rnacentral:lncRNA from 1 species
GGGCUUUUUCUUAAUUUCUGAAUUUCAUUUUAUUUUCUUUUAUUUCCUUUUAUUUCAAAAAUUCAUAACUCUUUCAUUUUAAAUCAAAAAAUAUGGGACCAAUUGCAUUAUUUUCCUUCUUAAUUCUAGUUUCUGAAAAUGAUUUUUAAUAUUUUUUAUUUUGCCAUUUGAUUUUUUUGUGAAUUUUCUCUUUUCUGGUUAUUUUUAAUUCAUUUAAAAUAGUUUCCGAUAUUCAAAAA